AAUUGUUGUUGCAGAGCAUAUUUUAACAUGAAGAUAGAAAAAUGGAAUACAUUGUAUAAAUACCAAUGCUAGAAUGAUGGAGCAACUCAAGUUUGUCCUGUUGUGGCAGUUCUCCACCAUCCCAAGAUAAAGCACAUCCCAGUGACUUGCGCUGACCUAGGAAAAGUGGGCAUCAUUGGGAGAAGGUCACUCUGAUGUGAUGGAAAGGCAGAAAUCAAUGAUGGCUGGCUCCUCAGUGAUAUGAGUCAAUCCAUCAGACAGAAUGAUGGCAGUCACCCAGCCUUCACAGCCACCACCACCAUGCUGGCAAAUGUCACAUUUGGAAUUCAUUUGCAUAGCUGGGUAGCACUCCCUGUGGAGUUACAUUGAACAAUUUUGCAGCUGUGACAGCUUGAAAUAGAAAAGCUAAUGCAGCUAUCAACUUCCGCUGUGCCUUGUUUCCUUAAAAUCUAGCUGGGAAAUCUUGUUACAGAAAGGAGGAAGAUCACGUAAAAUGGAAGGGAAACUGGUGCAAAGCUUUCAGGAACCAAGCACGUCUGGGUGGCGUUUGGAAGAGGCAUACAGGGACAUAGAGGCAUGGUUUCCCACCGACUGAGAUGAAGCUUCUCUUCCUAACAUCCUUCCACAGAAAGCAGAUAGCCAAAAGAUAUUUUUGACUGAAUGGAUGGAGGAAGAUGAGGAGUGAAGACCCCAAUUUCUUUCCCCUCAUAACGAAGUCAAAAGGGGACUCCAUUAUGAAGGAGUGUUGGUGAGAGAAUGUGGAUCCUUACAGCAAAUUGGAACUGUAUGAGAGAUGGAAGAUUUAAUCCAAGCUGUGCCAAGGCUCACCACCCUAGACAGGUGAGAACUGGGCCAUCGAUCCAAACAAGGGUAAACAUUAAAUGCACCUGGGGAAAGGCCAAAUGUGAUGAUUGUGAAAGACUGGAAAACAUGACAAAUUACUGUGAAGGAAUUUCUGAGCUUAGUAAAAUACGUUUCUGGAGGUUUGGAUGUGCUGCAUUGUGAGCUGUCAAAGGGUUCCAAAGUUCAGGCAUUGAGCUGCUUUAUCUUUUAAUAUUUCAAAUUCAAUGAUGCUUUUGAGUUUAUAUUUGGUUUAACAAAAAAAUUCAUUUAAGCACAAGCAUAUAUAGCUUCAAAUCCAUGUGUAUGCUCCUCCACUUAAGGAUGAAAGAAACAUCUAGUCAAGGAAAUAUGUGCCUUGAUUUAUUUCUCUAGUAGUAAAGAUGAAUUGCACCAUGUCUUCUACAUUCCCAUGACAUGUCAUUUCCAUAACCCUUGGCGUUCAACUACAAGACAGAGAGGUUAGAAGUGCAGGUGAUUGCUGUGCACAAGGGUUUUUCCUAACUGAGAAACUAACGGGCCCAUAUAGGGAUUAAAACCACAAGCCUGGCCCUCAUAAUCACCACUCUAACCUCCAGAGCUAACUGACCCAGACAAUAAAGGCUGCAGGAGAUACCCGCUGAGCUAUUAGGUUGAUAAAUGGGAAGGACUUCAGAGUACAGCAUCUUAUGAAAAAUAAUAUAAUAAUGUAAGUAGUUGUCCAUCCUACUGGUAUCAAUUGAUAGCCAGGACUAACUCAAUAGUUUCUUCUUACCCAGAGGCCAAGCACUGCUGAGCUACAUCAUUCACAGAGAGACAUAAAAUAAACACAUCUAAUAUAUAACAAGAAUGCCCUAAGUCCGAAACAAAAGCAGGAUUGCAUACAGAAUUUUCAACUAACCUUCUGCCUCUACCAUUCAAAGUAAAAGAGGAAGAACAAAGCCACUGGAAUGCUCUCCUAAAUUAUGACUUUUUAAAUUGACGUAAUUAAUCAGUAUAUAAAUUAAUAUCUUUAAGUAGAUGAAAUUUAAUUUGGUCAUAAACAGAAUAUUAAAUGUACUAUAUUUUUUCAUACAUUAAUAAUAAUGAAUAACACUGCUAAACAGCUAUCAGCUCAUGUAAAACAUAUUCAAAGUGUGGUGAUGUCAAUGGUUAAAACACGAAGAAAACAUCCUGAGUAAUACACAUCGUGUCACUUAGGGUUGAGCCACAAUAAAGACCUCUGAUACGGAGCAUUUAGUUAUGAAAAACUAUAUGAAUUUUUUUAUUUGAGAGAAAAAUUAAUAAAGAUUGUAUUUUGUUAUCAUUUCUUGGAUUUUAUUUUGCCAUGUUGAUUUUAGGAGAUUGAUCAUUUCUUAAGAAAUGGUGUGAAAUUUUGGAGAGCGCCACCUGGUGAGUUGAGAGCCCUGGUUUCAUGACUAACCAGCAAGAUUUUUCAAACAUUUAUGUAACUGAGAAAGAAAGAAAGAACAUAAGAAAAUGAAGGCAUGUUUGCCAUUUUCCUAGAAAUAAAUUGGUUUUCUUUAAUAAUUCUGUCAUAAAUAUUACCUAAAUUAUGUGUACUAACCAUAUAUGUGUAUAUUUGUUAGAUAUUGUUUUAUAUAUCAUACAUGUAUAUUUACUUGUAUGUAUGUGUACACAUACAUACAGAUAUACAUAUAUAUAUAUAUAUAUUUUUUUUUAGGAAAAACAAAACGUAGAACACCAUGUAAAUAAAUAUGAUUGCAUAACCAUAGGCUACAAAUAUUCUCCAGUGAAAGUUAAUGUUUUUCCUCACUCAGAAACUGAUGAUAGAAAACUACGUAAACAGUAAAGGCAUAAAUAAUGUUAACAAUAUUAUCAAGCACACUGAGCUAAUUGUUAUUUAUAGAAUGCUACACAAAACUACUGCUAAGUACACAUUCUUUUCAAGGGGCACAUGAUAUGUUUACUGAGAUUGAUUAUAUCCUUGUCCCUAAAGUUUGCCUCCGUAAGUGUAAUAGAUUUAAUUUAUACGGAGUCUGUUUUGUCAAUGUAAUUAAAUAAACAAAUAAAUAAAAAUCAGAAUUUGUAU